CGGGAGCGUGGGAGCGGGGGCCGGAGCGGAAGGGCCGCGGGGCCCGGGCGUCCCCGGCGGUCCCGGCCCUUGGCGUUGUUUCCGCGGCGGGCGCGGCCGCCCUCCCCGCCGCCGCCUGCGCCUCCCCGCCCCGCGCCGACAUGCCCUCAGUGCGCCUGCCGCCGCCGCGCCCGCGCUGCUAGACCGUGCGGCCGCCAUGGGCAAUGGGAUGAACAAGGAUCCCAUGGACAGAUUACGUUUCCAGAAAGCCUGUCAUGUGUUUUGGCUCCUUGGCAGUAGAGGCUGGGUUUUCCUCUGAGGGACUCUUGUACCUUUCCCAGUUGCAGAGCUGACCCUGCCUCCAUGCUGUGACUCGGUCAGGGACAUCCUGCCUGGCCUGUAUAUCGGCAACUUCAAAGACGCCAGAGAUGCCGAGCAGCUGAGCAAGAACAAGGUGACACACAUUCUGUCUGUGCACGACAGCGCCAGGCCAAUGCUGGAGGGGGUUAAAUACCUGUGCAUUCCGGCAUCGGAUUCACCCUCUCAAAACCUGUAAGUUGCUUACUGGUGUAUUAUUUGGACAUGUUAAGAAUGAAUGACUGUGAAGCCGUCAGAACAGAGGGGCCUUGAUACCGAGCACAGCUGCCCCCCUGCAGGAGGGCGGGGGCCCCACCGAGGUCUGUGCCCCUGCAGCUUCCACUGAGCAGCACCGUGCCGUGCGUGUGGGGUGUGUGAGAAGUCUAAUUCCAUAAAGGAUGCCUCAAACCAAAUCUUCAUCAGGUUCACCCUUUCUCUGGAAGCCUUUGCAUUUUGUCCCGUAGAAAUAGUAUAUGAGCCACACAUGUAAUCUUAAAUCUUCUGGGAGCCACAUUAAUAAAGUAAGAAAGAAACAGGUGGCAAGAUUUUAGUAACAUGUUUUAUUUAACCUGAUAUACCCAAAAGACUCUCAAUUCAGCAUGUGUUCAGUACGUAAAACAUGAGGCGUUUUGCGUCUUUGGGGGAUACCGAGUCUUCAGAAUCUGGCGUGCUUUUACACUGACAGCACGUCUCCCCUGGGACCAGCUUCGUUUCAAGAGCUCUGCAGCUUCACGUGGCUAGUGGCCACCCAUAGGGACCUGCACUUGGAAAGCUUGUUGGAGUUGAGAGAUGAGUUUUUUCUAGUUAAGAAAGUCCUGCCCUCUGUUCCCCACAGCUGAGUACAUCUCCGAUGCCACUUUAGCUCUGUUGUCCACUCCAAGAGAGAGUCAUAAUUGCUGUCCCUUCCAGAGCCUCACAGUUGUAUGAGACCCGUGAGACUGGGCUUUGGAGAAAGGGGGGCAGGGCUCAGCGUGGAGCCCCAGCAGGGUUACAGCUGUGCCACCGCACUCAGUGACUUGGAAGGACCGUGAUGUGGAGGAGACGAAAGUUUCCCUGAGCCCGGAUUUGAACUGUGUCGGCGGCUGAGAGGCCCAGAAGUGCUCCCAGAAACCCAGCCUCUGCAUCUCAGGCUCACCUUGGCAGCUAGUUUAGCUCAGACACAGUGACCCUUCUGGCAUUAUGUGUGACUGCAUUUCCUCAGGGAAGCUGGAAGCCAUGGUAUUCCCGAGUUUGGGAAUCCACAGGCUUGUCGAGAUUGAUCCUUCAUGAUUCCCAAGCCCGACUGCCUACAAGUCUUGCAUGUCAGGAGUACAGCCCACAUAGCCUUGUGUUAGGACCCUGUGUGCCCAGCCCGUCUGAAAGCUGUGGAAGGCUGGACCUGACUACAGCCUUGGCUUUUCACGGUGGGAGAGCGAGAAAUCACAGGUUGUGCAAUACUUUUGUGAGAUCUACCUGUUUGGGAGAGAGGGGAGGCUCCUGUUGGAUGGACCAAUGUGGGGAGUGGACAGGGGUGGAAGCAGGUGCAGGAGGUGUAGCAUCAGAGCAGGCAAGGGCAGGGGCUGGACUCAGGCACAUGGGUCCGGCCCGAGCCCCGUGUUUCCACUCUACCUCUUAUUUCGCAGAAAAAGCCAGUCCUUAUGAUUGAGGUGGUGGAGGAGAGGUUGUACAGGAUCGCUAGGAAGACAGUGGUGGCCGAGGUCUGGAAGGGGAAGAAGUGCCAGAGAACGUCCUUGGUUACCAGUCGUGUCGAGAAACAGAAGUGGUUGGAGGGCUUGUGUGUACGGAAGGAAGUGAGCCACGGCCUUUCUCUCGAGACCACAGCGAUCUUCUGCCCGUGUUUUGGUGGCUAUUUUUAGAAGAGUUGCUUUGCUCUUAUCUCAAACUGAGAUUCUAACAUGCUAUUGAGCGUGUCAGUACCUGCUUGGACCAUGACUCUUGGAAGAAUUCGACUGAAACACCCCUGGGCACCUGUAGUCCGAGCAGAUGCCAUUGUGCUGCAGCUGCCCCAGGAUCCUUGAGCUUUGCCUGGACAGGGUCCCUGACUCACCUCGCGCGCGAAGACAGCGCUGAGCGGCCCCCCGUGCUGUACCGCUGGCCAUAGACCCAGACGUUCGGCGUCUCAGGUGCAAAACCAGCUUCGUCUGCUCUGGAUGGCUCUUCAGUUGUUACAUCUGAAAAUGCUGCCCUGGGGAUCUGGGGAGAUGGGACCAUGCGUGUAGAAGUGUUCUUCCCGACUCCUGAGCCUUUGACUCUAAGGGUGUUUCUCCUCCAGGUGCAUGCAAUGUGGAAACGAUAGCUUUGGGGCUGGGGAGGCUCCCUCCAGCUGCUGGGAAGAUGGGACGAGGGAGCAGCAGCUGCUCCCCUGACUUCCAGCAUCUCCCGCCUCAGCUCAAGUCUUCUGGCAAAACCAGCCCAAACACAGUCAGCCUGGGGCCAGAGGACCAACUCAUAAGAUUUGAAUUCAUUCGCUUCUGUCCCAAAUAUGUACAGAAGUCUUGUCGAGAGUUUUGCAAGAUCAGAGCUAAGUGGGCCCUGGCGUGCUGUGUCCUGCUUCCCUGGAGCUGCACACGCAUGACUCCGGAGGACCCUGCAGAGGACAAGACAUUUCAAGGAAAGCAUCCAGUUCAUCCACGAGUGCCGACUCAGGGGCGAGGGCUGCCUGGUGCACUGCCUCGCCGGCGUCUCUAGGAGCGUCACUCUGGUGGUUGCCUACGUCAUGACGGUCACGGACCUCGGCUGGGAGGAUGCCCUGCACACCGUGCGGGCAGGCAGGUCCUGCGCCAACCCCAACCUGGGCUUCCAGAGGCAGCUCCAGGAGUUUGAGGAGCACCACGUCCAUCAGUACCGGCAAUGGCUGAAGGAGGAGUACGGAGAGAGCCCCUUGCGGGAUGCAGAAGAAGCCAGAAGCAUCCUGGGUAAAUACAAAGAGCAGGGGCGCGCUGAGCCCCAGCCUGGCGCCGGGCGCUGGGGUGGCCUCUCGGCCCUGCCUCCUCUGGCCCACGGCGGCUACACCACAGAGACCUAGCCAGGCCCCGGCCAGUCUUCCUGCCAGCUGCCCUGGUUGCCGGCUGCACGCAAGGACUGGAAGGGGUGUCCAGGUGGAUCCAGGCCCCUCCCGAGACCCCACUAGCCCUGCCACCACCCACGCUGCCCCCGCCCCAGCUUCUGCACUGUCUGGAUGCUGCUGCCUUUCCUGCCUGUGGGCGAGCCGGAGCGCAUGUACACAUGUGGGUGAGCGUGUCUGUGCGUGAGUGGGAGCUCUGGAUGUUCAUGCUGCGGGAAGCAUCACGAGGUCCACGCUGCCAGGACAGGUCCUGCUGCCCUUCCCUCGUCCAUGAUCCCCUGGGAAGGCACUUGGAGUUGACCUUGGAAAAGCUAUUCAGCCAAAGAAGCCUGUGCCUGUGAGCAGACAGCAAGGAGAACUCGGGGUGCCCGCUCCGCCCCCUGAGGGUGGUUCCAGGGCUCUGGGGCGGGGUGGGGGUUGCAUGUCCCUGGGCGAUGAGGAUGGGGCCUCCUCGAUUCUGACGAGCCGCCAUCCCCCUCGAGCCUGCCCUGCCCAGCCCUUGGCGUCCGAGUCCUCCCUGCAUGUGUCCUCCUCACCGAGCACACUGGCUGCGGGGAGAGCAGCCCAGACGCCCCCCACCCCCCGUCCAGCUUCCCCCGCUUCCGGCCUCCUGCUCCCCUCAUUCUUCUGGGGCCUCUGCACGAAGUUCGCAUGUACCCUUGGGAUUUGGGAAGCAAGAGCGGUCCUUAGACACCGUCAUAGUUUGCGUCUAAGCAUACAUUUAGAAAUGCCUGAGCACUUCCUACACGCCUUUGUGAUUGCUGUGGAUUUGGUAUUUGAUCUCAGCUACCUCAUUAAAGCGUUUUUGAAAAGGUGUUUUUCAUUGUUCCAAGUGCCUCUGCCUCACAGUUGAAACAUUCCAUCGCAGUUGCUUUUGAAGCCAAAGGGAAAAGGGUCAUGUUCACUGGGCUGCGGGAGCGCUUUCCGGUGGGUAAAUCUGACAUCAGGCCAAGCUGGCCAGCCCGGCAAGACGUGCAGUUUGCAGCUUGGGCUUUGCGCCUCGCUCCACGCCGCCCCUGCCGCUCGUGGGGAGCAGUCCCGUGGUCCAGCCCUUUGUACUGACUCGGACGGUUUAAGCACGCAGAGCUGCAAGAAUGAAAAAGCGUUCUUGGCCUCUCCCUAAAAAGAUGUUGCAACACAGUUUCUCCGAAUUCCACCACAAAAAGCCCCCUGAAUAAGAAGAGCAGCUUUCCCUGUGUGUGGAGGGUGGACACAGCCACCCCGGGGAUUCUGGAGCACUGGGCCUUUCUCAGAAGACCUCUUGCAUGUACCCGAACUUUCUGAAAUACUGCAAAGCCACAGAGUUGAGGCUGGUGCUGCCAAGAAGAAAAGCAACCAGAGUUCCUAUUAAGUGUCCAGAAGUGCUUUGUGAACUUGCCUGCUUUCGUUGAAACAAUACGUGUGCAAUUGUGUUGUUCUGUGUUGGGCCGUGUACUCCCUCCUUGGCAAGAGAACAGUCUCUACCUAA